ensembl:snRNA U1 U1 spliceosomal RNA
AUACUUAGCUAGCAUGUUGGAUUCCGUAGUCACAAAGGUGGUUUUCCCAGUGUGCAGUUUGUCCAUUGCACUUCAGGCUUGCUAGCCCCGUUGAUUUCUCCAAAUGUGGGAAACUUCACUGCAUAAUUUGUGGCAUUAGGGGACCACUUUCACGCAGUCCCCUG